rnacentral:rRNA from 1 species
AGCAUGGUCUUAGCUUGCUAAGGCUGAUGGCGACCGGCGCACGGGUGAGUAACACGUAUCCAACCGGCCGUCUACUCUUGGCCAGCCUUCUGAAAGGAAGAUUAAUCCAGGAUGGGAUCAUGAGUUCACAUGUCCGCAUGAUUAAAGGUAUUUUCCGGUAGACGAUGGGGAUGCGUUCCAUUAGAUAGUAGGCGGGGUAACGGCCCACCUAGUCAACGAUGGAUAGGGGUUCUGAGAGGAAGGUCCCCCACAUUGGAACUGAGACACGGUCCAAACUCCUACGGGAGGCAGCAGUGAGGAAUAUUGGUCAAUGGGCGAUGGCCUGAACCAGCCAAGUAGCGUGAAGGAUGACUGCCCUAUGGGUUGUAAACUUCUUUUAUAAAGGAAUAAAGUCGGGUAUGCAUACCCGUUUGCAUGUACUUUAUGAAUAAGGAUCGGCUAACUCCGUGCCAGCAGCCGCGGUAAUACGGAGGAUCCGAGCGUUAUCCGGAUUUAUUGGGUUUAAAGGGAGCGUAGAUGGAUGUUUAAGUCAGUUGUGAAAGUCUGCGGCUCAACCGUAAAAUUGCAGUUGAUACUGGAUGUCUUGAGUGCAGUUGAGGCAGGCGGAAUUCGUGGUGUAGCGGUGAAAUGCUUAGAUAUCACGAAGAACUCCGAUUGCGAAG